UUGCUUUGGUAGCAUGCCUACUAAAAUUGGAACGAUACAAAGAUGAUUAGCAUGGCCCCUGAGCAAAAAGGACAUGCAAAUUCAUGAACUAUUUCACUUUUUU
ensembl:snRNA U6 U6 spliceosomal RNA